UAUGAAAACCCUCUAUUCACUCCACCUGU
rnacentral:piRNA from 1 species